rnacentral:lncRNA from 1 species
AUAAUGAGUUUUCAUUUUAUAAUUUUUGUCUUAUCUAAUUUUAUCUAAUUUUCACAAGCAUAAUGACAUCAGAAGGAAUUGGUAAUUGGCCUUAAGGUUUUUUAAGAGAUGACGAUUGAUGAAAUUAGAGAGAUGAGUGAAGAUGAUGAAAUUGAAGAGAUCUUGAAUGAUGAAGGUGAAUAUGCCAAUGACUAAACUCUUUACAAAGGUAAAUUGUUUAACGACGAGUAUUGCUAAUUUUUUUUCCAGUUGAAUCUACCAUAGGAUGAGAGAGAAAAGGUUGGAGUGAGAGAGAUGAAAGCGAAAGGAUUGACAGGAAUGAGAGAGGUGAGUAAGGGUUUGAGAGUUUUUUUUUUUUUUAGUUUUGAGAAUGAAAAUUAUUUAAAUAUCCUUGACUUUAAAACUUAGAAUCCAGGUCCAGGAUUCGAGUAAAAUCGACCUUCCCUCUCAUCUCAGGGUGAGGCAAGGUAGCUUGCUCAAAUGUUCGUUGUUCAAUAUCUCGGCAGCUCAAGAAGUUGGACUAGCUGCUCCCAUUCCUCAAAGCCCGGAGUGGAUUCUAAGGGAAGGGCGGAGCCUCACCUUGCAGUANGAAGGUCUUCGUUGCUGGGACGGGUUCAAACUGGACUGAAGGGAGGAGGAAUGAAAGACUUCGAUCUUACUGGGGAUUCAUCACUGGCUAGGGCGAAUCAAAGCAUGGGCAUCUGCAAGUAAGAGGGAACAAUAAAUCGUCGAUUGAAGAGCCAGGUCAGUCAACUUCUAUUGGGACUUCUAUUGAUUCGACUAGAGGGACUCCUAGCAACUUGUAUGACGGGGCCCCAUGGAGAUGCAGGAGCCGGAUCGACCCAUAAAUAAAUGAUAGGCCAGAGGGAUGGGCUCAUUCGACUAAUUAGUGAUCCCUGGCCCUACCUAAUAUAUGAGGGUAUUUUUGUCUACUAUAAUCUGGUACACAUUAUUAAAAUGUAUCAACUGAAAAACAAGCGUACACGCC